rnacentral:miRNA from 1 species
AAAUUCAAGGAGGGACUCACUCACAGGCUUGCGCAAAUGCAAAGUUGGCUUUUGCAUGACUCUGGGAGUAGGCGCCUCCUUAAAUUU